GGCGUCCACCCACCACCGUCCCCUACCUCUCCAGACCACAAGCGGCGAACACCCUCCUCCGGCUAAUGCCUUCCCUCGUCACCACCCAUCUCGCGAGCUUCCUCCCCGAGCAGGAUUCUUCCCCCCACAAGCUUCACCCGAGCACCAAUCGGGGCUGCCUCCUACGUCCUCUACCCCGAGCAGUGGAGCGUCGACCAUCCUCUCCUGUGAGCAUCUCUGCCUCCUCAACUUCCCGCAACCACGAGAUUUGACAGCCAUAUCAUCCAAAGGGAGAAGGAACCAUCUAAGGCGCAUCAAAUCAAGCUAGAGGUCUCUGCAUACAUUUUAGUUCAGUAGCAGCUUUUCGAAAGGUUUCCCAAAGAUACACUAGUUGAUGGAUAUUUGGAUGAUCUACAAGCUGCUGAAGGUUUGCAAGACCUGCAAUUAAGUUGGUGGAGUGAUAAUGUAAUGCGCCUUCUUUGUCGAACCUGGAGACUUUGGCAAGUUCUGCUCAUUUUGGUGCUUGUUUUGGCACAUAGGCCACUGUAUGCUCAUUCUGGUUGUGUGACACAUCUAGAAACAUAUAUACUUCUCCCUUUGUAGCACUACAUUGUAGUUG